rnacentral:rRNA from 1 species
UACGGAGGAUCCGAGCGUUAUCCGGAUUUACUGGGUUUAAAGGGUGCGCAGGCGGGAGAUUAAGUCGGCGGUGAAAUUUUGCAGCUCAACUGUAAAAGUGCCUUCGAAACUGGUUUCCUUGAGUGUAGAUGAAGUAGGCGGAAUUUGUGGUGUAGCGGUGAAAUGCAUAGAUAUCACGAGGAACUCCGAUUGCGCAGGCAGCUUACUAAACUACUACUGACGCUCAGGCACGAAGGCGUGGGGAUCAAACAGGAUUAGAUACCCGUGUA